AACGCUGGCGGCAGGCCUAACACAUGCAAGUCGAGCGAACCCUUCGGGGUUAGCGGCGGACGGGUGAGUAACGCGUGGGAACGUGCCCUUCUCUGCGGAAUAGGCUCGGGAAACUGGGUUUAAUACCGCAUACGCCCUUCGGGGGAAAGAUUUAUCGGAGAAGGAUCGGCCCGCGUCUGAUUAGGUAGUUGGUGGGGUAAUGGCCUACCAAGCCUACGAUCAGUAGCUGGUUUGAGAGGAUGAUCAGCCACACUGGGACUGAGACACGGCCCAGACUCCUACGGGAGGCAGCAGUGAGGAAUCUUGGACAAUGGGGGAAACCCUGAUCCAGCCAUGCCGCGUGAGCGAUGAAGGCCUUAGGGUUGUAAAGCUCUUUCAGUCGGAAGAUAAGACGGAGGCGAAGAAGCCGGC
rnacentral:rRNA from 1 species